rnacentral:rRNA from 1 species
UACAUGGGGUGCAAACGUUGCUCGGAAUUAUUGGGCGUAAAGCGCACGUAGGCGGUUCGUUAAGUCGGAUGUGAAAGCCCUCGGCUCAACUGAGGAAGUGCACCCGAAACUGGCGAGCUUGAGUACGAAAGAGGAUCGCGGAAUUCCCGGUGUAGAGGUGAAAUUCGUAGAUAUCGGGAGGAACACCUAUGGCGAAGGCAGCUCGCUGGGACGUUACUGACGCUGAGACGCGAAAGCGUGGGGAGCAAACAGG